rnacentral:rRNA from 1 species
CACGUAGGGGGCAAGCGUUGUCCGGAUUUAUUGGGCGUAAAGGGCGCGUAGGCGGCUAGGUAAGUCAAAGGUGAAAUCCCUCGGCUCAACUGAGGAACUGCCUUUGAAACUGCCUAGCUUGAGGCCGGGAGGGGGUGGCGGAAUUCCCAGUGUAGCGGUGAAAUGCGUAGAUAUUGGGAGGAACACCAGUGGCGAAGGCGGCCACCUGGACCGGUUCUGACGCUGAUGCGCGAAAGCGUGGGUAGCAAACAGG